UAGGGUUCUUGAGAGAACUUGAGAGAAAAUGUGUCUAAGUAUGGGAGAGGUGUUUUGGGAAAUGUUUUAGAGAUGGGAAUUGAACUAAUGGUAUAUAGGAAAUAACAUAUGCCCUUUGGAAAAAUGGUCCAACACUUAGAAAAAAAAAUGAGGCGGGUGAACAGUAAAAACGCUCACUGGAAAUUGCCUUUCCUGCCGGACAGAUUUUACGAAAAUGGGCAUAACUUCUUCGUCCGAACUCCGAAUGAGGUGAAACGAAGUGCGUUAGGUAGCUAACUCAAAGGGCUUUCCAUGGAUAUGUUAUUGGCCACCCAAUAAUUUGUGUGCUAGGAGAUAUGACCCUCCAAAGUAGACCCUCGAAAAAGGCUAUUUUUCUAUCGUUUCUCAAAACCACUCCUUGGGACACAACCCCAACCUUUAGUUGGGUUACUAUACUGUCGACGAUCGUAGAUACUCAUACCGUAGGUUAGUGUCGCUGGUCACAAUAAGCAUCAAAAUGGCGCCGCUGUCGGGGUGUGAUGUUAUUUGAGAAUUUUUAGAUUAGUAGAAUUUUUGUUCUUCUUAGUUGUAAUUUACUAACUUAAUUUUUAGUUUUGUUUUGAUUGAUUGUGUGAACAUAUCAGAAAGUAUGAGUGUUAACGGUAGUAACGGGACCCAGGUGGGCCAUCAAGACGACGUCGACAACCUCAACGAUGUUCAAGAACCCAACAUCAAUGAUCCACAUCUCAUGGGAGGUGUUGGGGCCAUCCGUCUACCUCCAGUAGAGGGAAACGCGGUGUUCCACAUAACGAGCACCAUGUUGCAACUCUUACAAUUGAAGGGACUUUUCAGUGGAUUAGCACAUGAAGACCCACAUGAGCAUCUUCGAAACUUCGUAGAUGUGUGUGGACUAUUCUCGUUCAAAAACAUCUCGGAGGAGUCGGUUUGAUUAAGGCUAUUCCCUUUCUCAUUGAUGGGGGAGACGUGCAAGUAGCUAGCUGAGUUACCACGUAACUCGAUCACUUCGUGGGAGGAGUUGGUCACUGUAUUCAACGUGUGAUUUUUCUCUCCCUCGAAGAUGAUGACUAUUCGAGAUAGCAUCCAAAGCUUCAAGCGUUUGAAUGGAGAACCUCUGCAUGAAACAUGGCUCCAGUUUUAAAAAUUGGUGCUACAAUGCCCAACCCAUGGUCUACCUGAUAAUGUUCUUCUUCAAUACUUUUAUAGGAGUCUCGACUCGGUAAACAAAGGUGUAGUUGACCAACUCUCGCCUGGAGGAUUGAUGCAGCAACCAUAUGCAGUAGCAGCUCAACUUCUUGAUGGCAUGACAACCAUCAACAAGGCGUAGUACACUCGCGAAGACCAAGUCUCACCGGUCACCUUUCAGUUAGAGAUGAAAGCUGGAAGGAUCGAGAUCGUGAAUGGAGGGACCGUAAUCCAAAUUGGAAGGAUGGGGAGAAAGAUAGAUAUGUGCCUCCCCACGAGCGUCAGAAGCCCAAGGAUUCGGAAGGUGGUAGGUCUGAGGAUAUGCUCUCGCGUAUUCUAAACAAAGUUGAAGGGUCAGACAAAAUGCUAAGAGGUAUGAAAGAAGACGUGUCUACCCUCAGCCAGACUGUCACCUCUCAUUUAGUUUCAAUCAAACAGUUAGAGACCCAAAUGGGUCAUAUCUCAUCUCAUCUAAAUCCGAGACAACAUGGGGUUUUCCUAGUGAUACUAUGCCUAACCCCAAGAGUGAGGUCUGAAGGUUAACUUGCAUCGUGUCGCGACGUUAACUAAGGCGUUGUUUGGGAGGCAACCCAAAACCAUUUACUUGCCUUUUGUUACCUUGAUAAAAUAAUAGUAUGUUGUUUGUACAGAUUGAAUAAGGAAAGCGCUUGAUAAGAUGCAUGGAGGUCAACAACAGUUCAGUUUGGCAGGUCGCUGACAAGUUCGGCGUACCCGAGCAUUCCCAUUAUUUUACGUAAUACAGCUUAAAGGUUGAGUCUAUACAACUCGGCAGAGUAUGAACUUUGUCGGCAUAUCGCCAAUCCAAUUGGCGAUCUCGAUAAUGACCCCCGAUGCAAUGCUUACUUGAACUGAAAACUCUGAUAUAUUCGACGAGGAAAUUCGACAUUCAGCAUUUUGCCGAGUGAUCAAACGAGAUCAACUAACAUCGCCGAAUGAGCAGAAACUGGACAGUCACAAGCUGCAGGUUUAAAAGUUCUAUUUCAUUCACUUUCUUUCACUUGGUCCCUUUUCACAAACUCACACUCGCACUUUAGUAGUUAUAUCUCUUGCACCUUUUAGAGUAUUUUAAGUAUCAAAUUGUGCGCGGAUUUGGAUCACAUUGUUGCCUAGCACGUCAAUUCAAUCUAAUUCAACACCAAAGAUUAGUAAUCGAACGCCUCAGUUGUUUUAUCAAAACUUAUACUCAUCUGGAUAAUGAUUGAUAGUGUAACGUCUCUGCUGAUUCGAUAGAGUUACGUUGCAUUAUUGAUUAUUAACAAGUAGUAUUUACGAAAUUGGUGAGAUUCUACUAGGCUAUACUUUGGAGUUAAAUCAUUUUGCUAUGGGAUUGCUAUAAUUGUGUUGGGUCUUCAUUAAAUUGGUGUUGUACAAUCUUGCAUUGCGUUAUCUGGAGUUGCGGGGUGAAGUUUGAAAGGCUGGGUCAAAAAUAGGCACGUUGAGCUGAGCGGCGAGGUGAACAAAUUCCGCCGAACAGCUCGGCGGUUCACCUAAUGCCCCUAUUUCGCCUUUAACUAACUACUUUAUGUAUUCAUUGAUCUGUGACUUUCGGAGAGCAGUUUAAUUUGCAAAAUGCACUCGGUGACUCACCGAAAGAUCCUUUGUUCACCCUUUGUAUGCACCAUUGUAUAAAUUGUGCAUCAUUUUCAAUGACUAGCCUGACAGGAUAAGCACUUUGUCAACUAGCUUGGCUAAGUGAUUCCACCCUCAAAAACACCCGUUUACCUCUGUUCGAAUUACUAUAUAACUUAUCUUCGAAGCCUUUGCAGAAAUGGCUAAACCAAAAGUCGCAGGGAGAAAUUAUCCUCCCAGGUACAUAAGAGCACGAGAGUUUAAAAAUGAUGAAAAGAAAGUGGAGCUAGCCAGACAAAGAAAAUAUACCAAUGAAUCCAGAGCAAAGAGAUAAGUACCCAUCGACCCCAAUGUGCCUACAUGGGCUAGAAGUUUUGUUAAUGCAAUACGGGCCUUCGGAGCAGCUUAAGAGAUAGAUUAGAUGAUUGCAGCUAAUCUUGCUGCACAGGCCAAGGCAGAAGCAAACAAUACUCUGGGUAUUGAUGCCCAGACAGAUGAAGCAACAUAUUAGCCAUGAUCACCUCUUUACCUCCCUUCUUGUAUCUCUAUAUUUUCCAGUUUGGAUUAUGUAUUACCUGUAUUUGAGGACAAAUUGCUUUUUAUUUGUGGUGGGGUGAGGCCACACUUUUGUGUGCUGUUUAAGAUUCGUGUUUUGAAUACAUUUGGGUUGUCUGUUUAUAAUUGUGUUAAUAAUUGCUUUUUUGUGGAUGUUUGAGCUCGUGGCUCCGUUUACUUUUAAUUGCAAAAUGAUUUUGACCAUCCCAAAAAAUUUAAAAUUUUUUGCACAUUUUUGCCACCCCUCGCGAGUUGAAUGUGGUUGUUCUUUUGCAAGAAUUUAAGUCUCGGUUUCGAUCAAUAUCGAUGACUUGAAUAGUGCUCUUAAUUGAACGAACAUGAAUGUAUGGCUAUGAUGAGGCCAAAUGAAGUUGCAUAGACAAUAUGUGAACUCUUUGCAUCUCGUUGUGAUUAGCCAUUUAUCGAAUUGAUUCCCUUGUUAUGACCGUUGCACACUAGCGAAAAUGUGUAGUCUUGCUUAACUGAUGUGUCGAUGCCUUGUGUGAUUAGCUUGCUUUGAACCAUGCAUGAAUAAACCUAGAAUUUGCCCUGUUAGUCUAAUUGAUUUAAGAAAGGUGUCCUCUUGAAAUGAUAUUAGGCAACUUUAAAGAGUGUGAGCCAAUUUUAACAUAUACCUCUUUUGUGGCCUACCCGUGAGUGUGUGAAACUCUUUUGAACACCCUUUGAGCCUUACCUUUCUUUGGAAGAACCUUGAUGAACCCUAGACCUUACUUGACCCACUACCUACAAUCCUCUUAAUUUGUGAUUUAGUGAAUAGCCAACUUAGGCCAAAAGCCUAAGUUGGGGGUGUGGUGAAAAGGAAAAGGAGAAGUCAAGAAGUGAAAGAAAAAGUCCCCCCCUAACCCAUGGGAUUGCAUAAGUGGAAACCCCUUCAAUGCAAAAUAACCCGAAGGAAAUCGGGUUUCCAAAAAUUCCAUGAAGGUGAAUAAACAGGUGACUUAGAAGCAUUAGAAAAAGAAUUGAUAAAGGAGGAGAAAGGAAUGCCUUGAGAAUACCACAUCUCAUGAGGAUGAAAAAGUCAGUGAGCCUAAAUGACCAUACCUUUACACUCAGCCCCAUUACUAGCCUUAGAAAGACCUUUUUGAUCUUGAGUAAGCCGAAUCAAAAGUCGCUUGGAAAAUAAUGGCAAACCUAUGGGUGAAAGCAUGCAUUGUGUUCCUCUUUUUGAGUGGGAGCGUUGCAUCUGAUUCCUGAUCUUGAAUUGAUUAACCUCUGUGUGUGAAUAUGAAAUCAUUCUUCAUGGGAGGGCUUUUAGAUACUUUUUGUCGAACUUGAACUUGCACAAGUAGCAAGUAUUACGAGCAUGAGAAUUUCUGGUAAUGGUGUGCCACAACUUGAAUCUUUGAGUACACAGUUGAUCUUUGCAUAAGUAAUUUGAAUCUUGUUGCGUAUGUUCAUGAUUGAUUCUUGUGUAGCACUAUUUGAGACACCCUUUUUGAACGGCUGAACUUGACUUUUCUUGAGGACAAGCAAAACUUUAAGUUGAGGGUGUUGAUGAGUCCACAAAUUGGACUCAUUUAGGGCUUUAUUUUGAUAAGAAUAGUGUCCUCAAAUGCUUAUUUUGUCUAAAUAUCUUAUGAAAACAAUUAAGUUUCAGAAAUUUGAAAUUUUAGUGAAAUCAUGGACACUUAGGCGCAAAAAACUAAGGAACAAAAAGGCUGAAAGGAACAAAGAAGCUGAAGCCCGAGCAUCGCCAGGCACACUUGGCAAUUCGCCAAAGGGAUUUACUUUGCCCUUUGUUCCAGUACGUGAAGCCCUGAAGGAGAAGAAUAAAAAAAGGAUGAAAUGAGCAGUCGACGCUUCGCCGAAUAGUUCCACGAAGCAGUACUAUACCGCCCAAUAGUCCAGAACAUGAAGAUGCGGAAGGCAAGCACGAAGCGGCGAUGAGACAAACGAAGGGUGAAUAACCGAAGUCAUUCGGCGAUAUCGACUAACUUCGCCGAAAGAUUCGCCAGCGCUAUUUUCUGAAGUCUAUAAAUACUGAACUUCUUAUUAAUUUUAGAGAGUCGAACAUUUAUUUUAAUUUCUAGAAUAGAAUAAUACUUUUUGGAUAUUUUUCUGUCAAGUUUGGAGAAGGUUUUGUGGGAGACUUGAAAAGAGAAGGAAUUAAUCUUCCCAAACUUGGAAGUGGGUCUUCUCCAUUCUUCUUCCUUUGCUUAAAUAAAGGUUUAAUUUCUUAUACCCAUUUGAUUUCUACUAUCAUUUUAGGUGUAUUUUUUUAUUUCUUAAUGUGUGACUAAAAACCCCAUUCUUGGGGUGUGAUUUAGCAAAUAUGUGUUGACAUUAUUGUUGGGUCUUGCUUGCUGAUAGGUAAGAUGUAGUUUAAUGGUAAUUUCACCUAGUGGUUGUGGUUUAAUCUAAAGGGUUUGUAUUUACAAAAACAAAGCCACCCAUGUGUUUUCGGCUUGCCGAGAGGGAGGUCGCGAAACCAAGACCACUGGACUGAUGGCCUAAGGAAUGGGUCGACAUGAGGUUCAGCCCGAGAAGGUGAACCCUAGUCCCAUAUCCUAACACUCAGCUUGAGAGAGUGAGUGGGGUAAGGCGUAGAUUGGUCUUCAUGCGGCAAAUGGGUGUCCGAGAGGAACGCAUUUGAAACGGGGUAACUUGCUCGAGAGGGAACUUAUUUCCAUUUAAAGCUUAGCCUAGUCACUAUUAUCUUACAAAUUUCCUUUCAAAAGCAUGUACCCAACUACUUAUCUCAACUUGUAUUGCGGUCACACCCCAAGAAUAUUUCCCCAUACUUGAUUUUCUUGUUAAUUUUUGCUAUUUUUACUACUUGUGACAAAACCCCCAAAUCGAUAUUGACACUUUCGUGUCACCUCUUUAAUUUACUAUGUUUUUACUCGUUAAUAUAUUUAGCUACGACUAGUUAGAGUUAAAUUUUAUUUUUCUAUCAAUUCUCAAAACCACUCUCUUGGGACACGACCCCAACCUUUAGUUGGGUUACUAUAUUGUCGACGAUAAGCAUCAGUAAUCAAUUGUGACCAAAAUGAAUCGAUGUCCAUUAGAAGAUUUUGGCUCAAUUGGUCUGAUGACAUCCAUUCCCCAUGUAACAAAGGGCCAAAUAGCGGCCAUGGGUUAUGAUUCUGAUGGAGGUGCAUGAAUGAGAUCACCAUAAAUUUGACAUAGAUGACAUUUUUUCACAAAGCGAAAGCAAUUCCGUUCAAUGGUAAGCCAGUAACAUCCUACUCGAAGUAUCUUUUAUGCAAGGAAAUAUCCAUUCAUGUGUGGUCCACAUACCCCAGCAUGAACUUCAUUCAUGAUCUUCUUGGCUUCUUCAGCAUCUACACAUCUUAACAAGUUUAGAUCCGGGGUUCGUUUAUAUAAAAUUUCCUCGCUAAAAAAGAAACCACUAGCCAGACGUCUAAUAGUUCUUUUUUGGCUUCCAUUGGCAUGUUCGGGACAUCUCCCUGUCUCAAAAAUUACUUGAUGUCUAGGUACCAUGGCUCACCAUCUGGUUCUGCUUCCACUGUAUUACAAUAGCCAUGUUGGUCCCAAACUUGAAUCUCCAAGGGAGUGAUGCAAGUAUUUCCAGGAUAUGGAAGCAUUGAGGCCAAAGUAGCCAAGGCAUCUGCAUAUUCAUUAUGAAACCUGGGGAUGUAUCUAAACACGAUGGACCUGAACCUUUUGCUAAGAUCUUCCACACAUUGUCUGUAUGGAAGAAGCUUGAGGUUUCGAGAUUUCCAUUCGCCUUGAGCUUGCCGAACAAGCAAAUCAGAAUCUCCCAACACAAUCAAUUCUUGCACACCCAAAUAUAUUUCCAUAUUUAGACCCAUGAUGCAAUCUUCAUACUCUGUUGUGUUAUUUGUAUAGAAGAAACAAAGUCGAGCUAUUGCAGGGUAAUGCUGCCUUGUGGGUGAUAUGAGAAUUGCCCCAAUCCCUGUGCCUUUUGCGUUGAUUGCUCUAUCAAAGUACAAUUGCCAGGCCUGAUUUCCAUCUGAACCUACUUCUUCAAUUGAGUUAAUCUAUUCAUUUGAAAAAUAUGUAUCCAAUGGUUCGUAGUCGCCAUCGACUGGAUUCUCUGCCAAAUGAUCUGCAAAAGCUUGGGCUUUCAUUGCCGUUCAAGUGACAUAUAUAAUGUCAAAUUCAGUGAGAAAGAUUUGCCAUUUCACGAGUCUGCCAGUUGGAAUUGGCUUCUGAAAGAUGUACUUCAAAGGGUCCAUCUUAGAUAUGAGGUAAUGUAACGACUCAGAAAAUGAUAGGUUAAGCAAGAGCCUAUGACUUUAUGUUGACUUUAUAAUGAGGUUCUAUGAGGGGUUUUUAUGUAAUUUCAUUUUAAUUGUGUUACAUCCGACAAUUUAAAAUGAAUAUGAAGUAGCUUGAAAUUGGAAGUAGUCACUUUUGGAAAAAGUUCAGAACCUGGAAAUUUGGCUAAGUGUGGGAAAUCAGUGAGUUUUUGGCCAACUUUGAGCAGUCAUAACUCCUAGCUUAUGAUGAUCCAGGAGUAGUUCUAGUUCUUUUUGGAAAGCCCUUGGAACGAUCUUUCCAACGCCACUGAGUUUGCUCGAUUCCGAGUUCAUAUGAGCGAGUUAUACCCUUUGAAAGUUGGGCAGUUAGCAAGGAGUCCGUCCGGAAAUUUAAGGGCAUUUUGGUCUUUUCACAAAUCUUUUCUUUUGAGGUUAUAUUAUUGUGUUAGGCUGAUUGUGGAUCAUUUUUGUUCCAUUUUAAAAGAGUAAGAGUUAGGGUUCUUGAGUGAAGAANNNNNNNNNNNNNNNNNNNNNNNNGAAGAAGAAGAAGAAGAAGUUGGAGCUAGGAUUGAAGAUUUUGAGUUCUUUCUUCUUCAAUUCUCGUGGGUUUUCAACUUAGAGGUAUGGGGAUCCUUUAUCCUUGAUUAUUCUUCCUUUCAAGGAGCUCAAUUCAAAUGAUUCAAAGUUCUUCCCAAAAACACAAAAAUCCUAAUUUCGAUUCUAAGCAUGGGUUCUUGCAUUAAAUAUUUAUUUUUUGAUGAUUUACGUUAUUAAUGGUGUCUAUUGAUGGUUUUAAGAAAGAAAUUUCCAUGAACCCAUGUCUUGGCAAGUUUCCUAAAGUUGGCUUAUGAAGUGGGUUUAUUAUUUAUGAUUGAAUGAUGAUGGAAGUAUGCUUGGAUUGAGUUGAAUAGUUGACUUCUAUUAUUAUCUAUGCUUAUCUAUUGUGAAUUGUUGGAGAGUUGAGGAAUGGUGAUUGUGGCUUGGGAAAAAGGGUAAGUGGACCUAACUUCAUUGUUAAGGUAGAAUUGAUAUAGAAUUGUGAUAGAUUGAUGUGUGAUCCACUUAUGGUGGAGGUGUUUAAUUAUGGAAUGUAUUAUGAACAUGGACUUGAAGGCAUUAUCUAUUGAAUUAAAGUGUUAUCAAGUUAUGAAAUGUUAUUGUACUAUGUGAAGGUAUUCUUAUGGUUAUAAGGUGAUCUUGUACAAAGUGUUAUUAUCUUGUUUAAAGUGUUAUUGUAUUGUGAUUGAAAGUGUGUCCUCUAUUAUUGUUCAUAUGUGAUGAUGAUGGAAUGUGAAGGAUCUUUAUAAUGUGAUGUGUGUCUUGACUUGGUAGACUUAGGUGCCUCUUCUUGAUACAUUAGAAGCUUUGUUGAAUAUGAAUCGAUAGGAUAUGGCAUUCCUUUCGGAUGUAAGUGACGAAACCUGUUUUUGAGCUGGAUAGUGUUUGGUAUUUUAGGCAUAUCUCUUGCUCUAGAACUUAGUUUGCAGUGAAUAAAUAUGAUUUGGAAAGCUAACUCGUAUACCUACAACUUUUAUGUUUAUGUAAAAUUCUAAUUUAACUGUUAUGGAUACGAAAUAUGGGACGCAACAUAGGGCAAGUUCUGCCCAGAUUCCGAGAAUUGAAAUCCUGCAUGACCAGCGGCUAGUGUCUUGACUAUAUCUUUUUGUACAAAAUAAAUUUUGCGGUGAUCCUUGUUUGUUUGCAACCCUAAGAGAUGUAUCUACAUCUUUCAUGAAGGUUAUAAAGUCUAGUUCUGCCAUUUUCCUUUUCAAAUCUAAGAUGCAACAUGAGGUACUAGGCCGGCCAGAUUCACUGUUUUGGGAGCAUAGUUGUAUUUGUACAUGCUAGGCUUACUUAUGAUGAUAAUCCUACUUUACGUCAACAUUACUGAGCUAAUAGAAGUUAAAUAAGUUAUGUAAUUAUAUUUCUAAGGUUGAUAUACUCAUGAACAAGUUGAGGUACGUGGGUUUUAUUGUGGAAACCUUCCUUUCCACAAGUCCAACCAUUUAUCCUCUAUUUCUACUUCAANNNNNNNNNNNNNNNNNNNNNNNNNNNNNNNNNNNNNNNNNNNNNNNNNNNNNNNNNNNNNNNNNNNNNNNNNNNNNNNNNNNNNNNNNNNNNNNNNNNNNNNNNNNNNNNNNNNNNNNNNNNNNNNNNNNNNNNNNNNNNNNNNNNNNNNNNNNNNNNNNNNNNNNNNNNNNNNNNNNNNNNNNNNNNNNNNNNNNNNNNNNNNNNNNNNNNNNNNNNNNNNNNNNNNNNNNNNNNNNNNNNNNNNNNNNNNNNNNNNNNNNNNNNNNNNNNNNNNNNNNNNNNNNNNNNNNNNNNNNNNNNNNNNNNNNNNNNNNNNNNNNNNNNNNNNNNNNNNNNNGAAAUGUCCUUAUCUAAGGUAAUCUUGGGGAACACUUAAGUGUGCUUGAAGAGGAUUGUGUGGGCGGUCACUUCUUGUCUCACUCAAGUGUGUCUUAAGGUUAUAUUAGGUAGAGGUCCUAUGGUAAUGAAAUGACAUGUGUUCUUUUAAAGUUAAGCAUGGAUUGUAUAUGGACAUAUGUUGAGUAUAUGUAUGGUUGGCUAUGGUCUUAUAUGUUAAUGUUGACUUGUAUUAUGUCUCUUAUACUUGUAAAGGAAAGGUUUUAUCAAAGGAUAUGAAAGCAUACAUUUCUUGUAAAUGUCCGUUGUGCAUAUUUUCUUGCAUGGUCUCCAUACUUAGUACUUAAUUGUGCUAACCCCUUUCUUUCGCUUUUUGACUAAAGUGUAGGGAUUUGGAGAUGGUGAUAUGUCAUGGCUACUUGAUAGGUUUUUAAGAGUUGAAGAUGAAGACUUGGUGAGUCCUCAUAGAUUCGAGGGCAAUAACCAACAUGUUUUUUUUUUAUGUCUCUCUAGUAUUUGCUUAAGUUUUGAGUGGGCUUAGUCCCAAUGUUAUAUUCAAGUAUUAGAUGGUUUUGAGACAUAUUGUAUAAAGUCUAGAAAGUCUUCCGCUUGCUAUUUAUUGAA
rnacentral:lncRNA from 1 species